UUUGAGAGAAGGGAUGACACAGUAGGAUAAGCUAAGCACACUGUUGGUUAUGUGUGCCCAAGCAUUGAGGCAGUCAAAGUAGGCAAAUCCGCUUUGAUAAUGCUGGGAUGUGAUGGGGAGCGAAAUUUAGUAGCGAAGUAGCUGAUUUCACACUGUCAAGAAAAGUCUCUAUCGAGGUUAAAGGUACCCGUACCGCAAACCGACACAGGUGGGUGAGGAGAGUAUCCUAAGGCCAGCGAGAGAACUGUUGUUAAGGAACUCGGCAAAAUGACCCCGUAACUUAGGGAUAAGGGGUGCCACCAUCAGGUGGCCGCAGAGAAUAGGCCCAAGCGACUGUUUACCAAAAACAUAGGUUUCUGCUAAGUCGCAAGACGAUGUAUAGGAGCUGACGCCUGCCCGGUGCUGGAAGGUUAAGGGGAUCUGUUAGAGCAAUCGAAGCAGUGAACUUAAGCCCCAGUAAACGGCGGCCGUAACUAUAACGGUCCUAAGGUAGCGAAAUUCCUUGUCGGGUAAGUUCCGACCCGCACGAAAGGCGUAACGAUUUGGGCACUGUCUCAACAACAGACUCGGUGAAAUUGUAAUUCCGGUGAAGAUGCCGGAUACCUGCGACAGGACGGAAAGACCCCAUGGAGCUUUACUGUAGCUUGACAUUGGGUCUUGGUACUACAUGUACAGGAUAGGUGGGAGGCUUUGAAACCAGGACG
rnacentral:rRNA from 1 species